CCAAUGGACGGUGGAGAAGAGAUGAGUGACAGACCUGGGGAGGGGCCAGGGUUGGCUGCCGCAGCUCCAGGGGUAUAAAAGGAGGAGCAGCCAUUUUGUGGAGGUGCUCAUGGCUGCCUGGUCACCGGCUCCUGCUGCGCUGCCCUUUUUCCUUAUUCAGGCCUUUGUUGUAUUUUGUUAAGGCUUUUACUAAACCUUUUAAAAUUUUUAAAAGUGAGCAUCUCUCACACCUUCCAUGCUGAUCCAAGGGACAAAAUAGGGGAGAAGAAAUGUCCUGGCAGACCAACAUGCUUUUGCAGUACCUACUGCAGCUGAAUUGCUGUGAGGGGAAGCUCAGGCAGUCAGCAGGACCUGAAGGCACUGAGAGAGCCCAGGCAGCAGAGAUACAGGAGAGAAGCAGAUACAAAAACACUGGCAGAGCUGAAAGAGGAAGAUGGACCUCACCUGCAGAAAAGUGGCCGCACCAAAAAUACACUGAAUUACAUAGACCUGAGAUCCAAAGUCUAGAACAUCCAGUUACGACUCUUCUAGGAAGACUGAAAUGCUGGUUCAAAGUCAGUCUUAUUAUUCUGGAGCAAAAUGGAAACAGUGGAGACCAAUGGUCAGCCAACAGUGACUCCUCUACAGGGACAAUUAAAUAUAUGCUGAAUAUAUGAGCUGAAUGAUGGCCUCACUUCUUAGGUGAUGAUUGCUUAAUCUCAUCCUUAGGUGAGGAACUUUCAUGCUGUUCACAAACAUCUGAAUCCCUUCCUGCAGUAGAAUCCAUUUACCAUUGUGCAAAUAUUCUGUAUUAAUUCUAGACCACACACAGAUCUGAGUGGCAUCAGAGUAAGACUGCAGUAACCCCAAUUAAUUUUAGGAGGCUUUUUCUAGGUUUAUCCUACUCAGAUAAAAAUGUGUGUAUUUAUCUUUGAAUUGCAUGGCACAGACUAUUGUAAUGAGGUGCAUUGAGCUCUAUUCUCAGCAUAAAUUAAUUUGGGGUAGUCAAAUGAAAAAUGUUGCACACCAGAUUGGUGAGCUAGAUGGUCCUUUAUCACUACAGUUAAGGAAAAUAUGAAUGUUAAUGAAUCUAUUUUGUUCUAUCACAACUUCUGAAAAUAAAAGAAAAUCUAACACCUAUGGGAUUUUUGUG
rnacentral:lncRNA from 1 species